rnacentral:lncRNA from 1 species
CUGCAGUGGAUUGAAACACAUCAAAAUAUCUUUAAAAACCAUAAGGUCGUAACACCCCUCAAAACAAAAACAACUCGUUGAUACUUUUCAUGGCUGCUAGGGCUACUCAUUACUCUGAAAAUAGACUUAGCCCCGCCCACACACAAAAAAAGGACAUAAUCAACCAUGUACUCUGCCUUUCAGGGACUGUAUUUCAGGGUAAGCAAAUGCUUGAGGAAAGUCGUGUGGUAGAGAACAAUGAGAGUUGGGCCGGGCACAGUGGCUCAUGCCUGUAAUGCCAGCUCUUUGGAAGGCCAAGGCGGGAGUAUCGUUUGAGCUCAGGUUUGAGACCAGCCUGGGCAAUGUAGUGAAACCUCAUCUCUAUCAAAAAUACAUAAAAUUAGCCAGGCAUGGUGGCGAGCGCCUGUGGUCCCAGCUACUCAAGAGGCUGAGGCAGGAGGAUCGCUUGAACCUGACAAGUUGAGGUUGCAGUGAGCCAAGAUUGUGCCACUGCACUCUAGCCUGGAUGACAGAGAGAGACCCUGUCUCAAAACAAACAAACAAAACCAGAAACAACAACAACAACAACAAAAAACAACAAGAGCUAAUAAGCACAGAAAGAUUGACGGAAGUAGAAAAUCACUAUAGUAACGAAACAAUAAUCUGGGCUUUGCUCAUCAGCAGGCAGUAAAGUCAUUCGGCAAGAGGGUGAUAGGGAACUUUACGACGGAGGUCAGACUGAUACCCUAAACUCACUAAUGAACAAAAAUCACUAAAAGUGGGGUAACUGAACUUUAUGUUCUUGACGUGAUGCAAGAGAAAACAGAAAAACACCUUCAAAGUAUUCCUGCUAAGGAUCUGCACCUGAAUUGAUUCAAGCCUCUUGACCUAGUACUUAUUUAUAGGUAUAGAAGAACAUGUUAGAUGACACUUGGAAGAUGCAAUCAGCCAAAUCCAGAAUAUGGAAAAUUCUACGGGACAAAUGACCCAGUUUCAAUAAGUAACUGGCAUUUAAUAAAGGGAGUUGCUGAUUAUUACAGAUGAGGAGACUUAAGAGAAACCCUGUGGGUCCUGAUUUGAAUAAAACCAUUCAAAGACAUCUUUGAGCCACCUGGAGGACAGUCAGCAUGAACUAGGUGAACUCUACUUUGAAGUAACAAGUCACUGAAUCACAAAUUCAGAGGAAGCAUGAGAACAAGGUAUUCCAGGCCGGGUGCAGUGGCUCAUGCCCGUAAUCCCAGCACUUUGGGAGGCCAAGGUGAGCAGAUCACUUGAGGUCAGGAGUUCGAGACCAGCCUGGCCAACAUGGCAAAACCCCAUCUCUACUAAAAAUACAAAAAUUAGCUGGGCGUGGUAGUGCUUGCCUGCAAUCCCAGCUACUCGGGAGACUGAGACUGAGGAAUUGCUUGAACCUGGGAGGCAGGGGUUGCAGUGAGCUGAGAUUGUGCCAUCGCACUCCAGCCUGGGUGACAGGACGAGACUCUGUCUCAAAAAAAAAAAAAAAAAAAGAACAAGGUCAAAGUUUCUACUGGGAUAAGACUUCAAGGAAACCUCCAUUUCAAAAGAUUAAAAUGUUUAUUUCCCCAUGAAGACUGGGUAUCUCAUGUAAUGUAAUACUCAAAUUUCUGUCUCAGACCUAAAGGUGUUGAAAGUAUGAGCGAGUUUACACAACACCUGAGCAGGAGCAAAUAAAACUCUUAAGAGCUUCUGAAAGAAAGUUACAGAUUAGAGAUAUUUUCAUCUCUAAAUCACAUGAAUUAGGAUUGGCUGGGUCUUUCCACUUAAAACUUGGAGAAGUCAUAAAAAGAAAUCUUGUAAAGAACUCCAUGUCACUAUUAGCAGAAACAUGCAAUUUAUAAAAUGAUAUCUUUGGCCAGGCGCGGUGGCUCAUGCCUGUAAUCCCAGCACUCUGGGAGGCCGAGGCGGGCGGAUCACUUGAGGUCAGGAGAUCGAGACCAUCCUGGCUAACACAGUGAAACCCUGUCUCUACUAAAAAUACAAAAAAAAUUAGCCGGGCGUGGUAGUGGGUGCCUGUAGUCCCAGCUACUUGGGAGGCUGAGGCAGGAGAAUGGCGUGAACCCAGGAGGCGGAGCUUGCAGUGAGCACUCCAUCUCAAAUAAUAAUGAUAAUAAUAAUAUCUUCACCUUUCAGUUUUUAAAUUGCAAGUCCCAUGUCCCGGGAAUUCCCCGGUCCUGGGCAAAGUGGGAUGGUUGGUCACCCAACCUAUAUGGAUGCCCAUUGAUAUUAAAAAAUAAAAGUAAUCACAAUAGACAUGAGGGAGAGAGUUGUGUACAGUGUGAGUGUACAGAAUAAAAGGUCUGGGGGGUUUAUACCAAAAUGUGCACAGUGGCUACCUGGAGGAGGAGGGUUAGACAGGAAUAACAGCAAGGAGACUUUUGCACGGUGCUGAGUGACUUUUUAACUUGCAUAUUAUUUUGGAAUGCAUUUUUUCAACAUUGAAAGAAAGUCAUGUCUUCCUAGAAAUAUAGGAUAUAGGACCACUACAAACGCUUUACUCUUAGUCUCCUUUUUUUCUUUUUCUUUUCUUUUUUUUUUUUUUUGAGACAGAGUCUUGCUCUGUCAGUCAGGCUGGAAUGCAGUGGCGCAAUUUUAGCUCACUGCAACCCCCACCUCCUGGGUUCAAGCGAUUCUCCUGCCUCAGCCUCCCAAGUAGCUGGGAUUACAGGUGCCCAUCACCACAUCUGGCUAAUUUUUAUGUGUUUAGUACAGAUGGGGUUUCGCCAUGUUGGCCAGGCUGGUCUCGAACUCCUGACCUCAAGUGAUCCACCUGCCUCUGCCUCCCAAGGUGCUGGGUGGCAUGAGCCACCGUGCCCAGCCUUAGUCUGCUUUAAAAAAAAAAAAAAAAAAAAAAAGAACAACCAUUUGAGGAAACAGAAACAGAAUACUAUUCCUUAAGACAGUAGCUUUGGAGGCAAAAAACAGAAUUGUUUAUAAAACGUUGUGGAACUUAUAUGGGAGCAUGUCCAGGGAUCCACACCACCAUUUAUAGAAGCAAAGAAAGGCCCUUCUCUUUCAUCUGCGUUACAUUUCGAGCUCUUCUGAUUAGCUUCCUUCAAACAUGACGGGAGUCGUUUUUCCCCGGGGACCCCAAGUGCAUGCCUUCAGACAGGGUCUGCUCUCACUAUACAUUGGGUUCGAAUUUACCUGGACGUUGGCAGAAUGGUCCGGACCCCGGGGAGGGGCGAGCUGACUUACCACUUUAUUCCUGCCGCUUUUCUCUUGCCAUGUCCUCCCCACCGUGCAUUCAGGGUUACAUUUUCCAGGUUCCUUGUUUGCUGAGGGCCUGAAUCUAAGCCUGCUAGCUGCUUACUCUGGGGACUGCAAAUGUCACUUUUAGAUUAAUCAGCCCCUGCUGUUUAAAAAUAUCCCUGGAGCACUUAACCUUCAAAGCAGCAACAACCCGGGGCAAAGAUGAGAAAGAUCCCACGUCAAACCACUUGUGCAGCCCUGGCUACUCCUGGGAGAGUUCUGCUAUCUGCCUUUUAAUCCCAUAACUCGCUUUAUUUCAUAAUUCUUAGCUGUUGAAGCCAUGAGGCAUCUAAAGUCCAUGUUGUCGUAAGCAGUAGGCAGAAAGUCAUCUGGGCCCUCCUGUGACAUGCUGAAAAUUAACUGCCUACAGGUGUUGGUCAUUUGAGAAACAAGCCCCCAUUGAAAACCGUGAAUGGGAAGGUGAUCGCUAUCAGGUCACCUGGCUUCUCUCCCCUGAAAAGAUUUGGCGAAACCCUCUCAAAUCACGCCACUUAAUGGAAUGUUUCCAAUUUCUUGUGACUUGGGGAUAAAAGAAAAAAACAGCUCCAUUGCCACAUUCUCAUUCAGGGUUGACUGGCUCUUGCUAGGGUUGAGCACAGAAGAGGAAAUUCAGCACACGCUGCAGUUACAUAGUGUUCUGCAACGUGGGGAGGGCUGGCAUGUGGGACAAAGGUCGCCUCCAAGGCCCAGCUGGAGAAGCCCAGCCAACUAGGCAGCAGGAAAGUGGAGACCACAUAGGAGCACAUUGUGCUCAGGCAACAGGGAAGGUGGAACCCACUUCCUGCCAACAAUGAUGGCCUUACUAAACAGCAAGUGGAGAAACUGGCGAGAGCGCUGAGCACGGGAUCUGUGCAAAAUGGUUUAAAUGGAAAUUGCUGCUGGGGCUGGUGCAGCCUGUUCACAGCUACUUUGUUUCUGGGCUUAUUUUGCAAUAAGGAACAGUCAUUGAAUAUUGGACUUCUUGGGAUUUUCUCCACUGGACUUGGAAGCAUGUGCUCUGGAAACCUCAGCAUUAUCAGCUGUAACCCCACAGCACCAGGUACAUGUUACAGGAACCGGGGUGAAGGAAUGCAGGUCAAAUGCCUGCACAAUGCCCGGCCCGAGUCAUAUGUUCUCUAGCCACAGUAGCCCUUGUGAUGGCUCUUAGUCUAUUUAUUAAGACAAUAAAAGAGGUGACUCUCAAACAAACCUAUGUUUCCAGGGAGAGCCAUCUGUGAUUCAAGGACAUUUUUAUAAAAUUCCAUUGAAAAAAAUUCUUAGGCUUCUAACUUCAUGAAAAAAAAAUUCUUUCCCAGUGAUUCCAAAUAAUCAUGAUCUAGGCAGGGUGUUGACAGUGGCAGGACUAUUAGGCUUUGAAAUCAAGCUGAUGUGGGUUUGAAUCCUCCCUCCAUUAGCCAUGACUUUGAGCAAAUGGCUGAGCUUCAGUGUCCUCAUCAACUACUUCACCAUAUGGGUGAGAAAAUGAAAUGAUUUAUAUUGAGUUUCUGGCACAGGGGCUUGCUCAUGACAAGCACUUAAUAUCUUUCUAAUGAAAUUCAUUACUUGCAAAAAGACUAGACAUACCCACACAUACAGGUGAAGAACUCUGCAGUGAUUCAGUUCUCCCUAGACACUAUCUCUUUAAGACACAGGUAUUUUCCAGAAUAUAAUUGGAAGGCUUGAAACCAAAGUUAUUCAUAAACUCUUUCCAUCAAACACAAGAACGGUAAUAGAAAUAUAUUUCUUCAAACAGCUGUUAGUUUCAGAAAGUCACAGGUAUCAAGUUACAUUUUUUGUUUUGUUUUGUUUUGUUUUAGAAAUAGGAUCUUGCUCUGUUGCCCAGGCUGGAUGGAGUGCAGUGGCAUGAUCAUAGCUCACUGCAGCCUCGAACUCCUGGGCUCAAAUGAUCCUCCUGCCUCAGCUUCCCAAGUAGCUAGAACUACAGGCACACACCACCCCUGGCUAAUUAAAAAAAAAAAAAUUUUUUUUUUUUAAAGACAAGGUCUCAUUAUGUUGCCCAAGUUGGUCUUGAACUCCUGGCCUAAAGCGAUCUUCUUGCCUUGCCUCCUAAAGCACUGGGAUUACAGGUAUGAGCCACUGUACCUGGCCCAAAAAAAAUUAUUAAGUGACCACAUGGUCUAACAAAACAAGGCACCUGGAAAGAAAUCACCAGUCCUGCUGCAAACCGGACCCUCUGUGAGAAUUCACAUGCCUUCCCCCACCAAUUAAAUCAGAAUUUCCAGGGAUGGGGUCUGGCUUUGCAUGUUUUAGCUUCUCUAGGCUGGAGGAGCACUAGCUUCUUGUUGGAAGGCUCCCUACCUUCCUCUCCCACACCCUCACCCCAAACAUCAUUAAGAGAGACAAAAGAACAUGCUAUAUACACAACUAACAAGCAGAGAACAUAAAUUAUUGAUCUCCUGGUCUGCUCCGCUCACCAAUAUUUAUAUUUCCAAGCAUAUUUCAAAAACUUAAAAACUGGUUCCCUAGCCUGGGCAACUUAGCAAGACCCCAUUUCUAUUAAAAACUUAGCCAGGUAUGGUGGUGCAUACCAGUGGUCCCAGCUGCUCAGGAGGCUGAGGCAGGAGGAUCACCUGAACCCAGGAAGUUGAGGCUGCAGUGAGCCAUGACUGAGUCACUGUACUCCAUCUUAAGAAACAGAGUGAGACUCUAUCGCAAAAAAAAGAAAAAAAAAUUGGUUCCCAUUGACUUAAACUACAAAGGAACUUCCUGUUGUCAGACCCAAAUUACAGUGUCAGAAGGACUCUAAACAAGGAGGCCAUCUCCAGCAGAGGAAUGUUCUAGCUUUCCUCAGCUUGAGUCAGCACAAGUCAGCAUGUGAGGUCUUUUCAAAGUAACCCAGAGCACCUCCCUGCAACCUGUUUUUCCUUGCAAAUCUUGAAGGUUUGGCAAGGAUGAAAAGCCAACACCACACGCAUACGCCAAAAAGUUUGCUUCUCCACCAAACAUACUUGCGAAGACUUUUAUAUGAGAAGCAAACUGAAGCAGAAAGUGAAUUUGAACAGAGAUGUAUUAUCUAAUAAUGCAAGCAUACUAGCAACAUGCUAAAGUCUAUCUUUAAAAAAUGCAAACAAUUUAUAGUCCCUGACCUUCCCCUGCUGGAUGUAGAUCAAAAGCAGGCAGUGACUUUCACACAAUUAAUUAUUUUAUAACUGGACGUUUCCAGUACAACAUUUGCUAAUAACUGACUUCCUUGUGUUACCAAUUCCAAAAGCUGUCAGAGAUCUCCCUAACUCACCUGAAAAGGGAGGAAACAGGAAUCAUUAGGCCAGGUUCUCAGAAGCCUCCCAAACCUUGCCACGUGGAACCAUCCAGCUCCACAUCCAG